UAACGACCUAUACAACAUACUCCCUCAGUUAAAUAAUAUUGGCAAUAUAAUGCUGUUUCGAAUGGCAGUUCUUGAAGUUGUUUUUGUGUUUUGGGUCUUUCGUAAUGGAUUUGGAGAAGUGAGCUGAACCAGUUCUUGUUAGUAUAUAUGGUGUGUAUUGGGUCAUAUUGCCAUUAUGCCAUUAUUUCAAAGAAUUUCAUUAAAUUUUUUAUUUAUAUCUCUUUUUUGAUAGACAUAUAUGUUUCAUUGACAUCGAACGAAUUUGGUUACUUAUUUCUUUUUCGGUGGUUAACGUUGGGUUGGAGGUUUUGACUUUUGCUAACUUUUGACAUAUCUGUUGAUUUGUAGUAUGCAAGCUUAAACGCUACCAAGAAGCUAAGCUUUGAGUCGAGUUCAUUAUUAGCAUAUCUGUUCACCUGUUAUGUUUGCAACUUUAUCAGCUCUUGUGCAGAAAUCCUUUAUGGUUGAUAAGCGCUCCCUUCUUGUUUAAUACAAAAGCAAAACCUAUGUAGACAGUGGUUAAAAGAGGUGGAUAAUGGUAGCUUCGGCUACUGUUACUUUAUUUAAUCUAAGUUACUGUACAAGGCAGCUGUUUUGAUCAUCAUGUUGCUAAACUAUACUGGGUUGAGCUUACCGACAGGGUUUAUUAUUGCAUGUUUGCUGAAAGUCAAAGCUUCCAUACCCCAACUUGACUGUGUUUAUUAUGUUCAUGAUGGUUUUUGGUUCACGUCACACUUAUUCCAAGUCUUGUUUUACUAUAUGUGGCACGGCUUGUUUGGAUGAGGAAUUUCUAUUCGUAAAAUCAUCGCGUUCGAUGGCUCUAUUUCAUCUUUGUCAAAUUGUACAUGACAGAACUGGCUUCAUUCCUUCCUUUGUAUGUAAACCACAUUUAUAGAACUUUUCCACGAUUGCAUUUUAAACUCGCUGAUUGAUGAAUUACGCGCAAUGCAUUCUUUUGAAACUUUUAAACCCUAGUCACUUCCAUUCCCGUUUUUUUUGCUUCCGACGUUUAUUAUUAUUUGUAAAUUAUUGUUAUGGUUGAAUUGCCGACCGUAUCUCGAAAUUUGUUUUGGUAAACAUUGCUUGGUUUUAUGUUCGAACCAUUGUCACAUCAAACAAUUUAAAUUGAAGUCCCACACAUAUAUUUUUGGCACUUAUAAUUUUGAUUUUUUUGAAAGAUCUGUACGAUCCGUCGUGAUUGUGUUACAAACCAAAAAUCGCUUUCAGAAUGCGCAUUUGCGGGUUGCUAAUUUUAGUGCGCGAUUCUUGCCGUCCUCUGAAACCGAUUGAAACAUUGAAAUUGUUAAAACAGUACUUUACGUUCGUACCUUAAACCAGUAGUAUCUGAACGGUGGUUAACGACAUUUGUAUUGCAGAUAAAGAGAAAGAUUAUUAUUCACUUGCUACACAUGGUUUAUACGAAAGUUUUAGAUUUUAAUAUCUGAUUACAAUUUCUCGUCGAUAUUUAGACUCCUUGUGGAACUCGUAU